CUUUUUUAUUUUUUUUAUUCAGUGGCGGAAACGGGCUUCCAUAGAAACCUUCUUGUAUCUGUUAGGAUUUUUAUUUUUAUUAUUAUUAUUAUUAUUCUUCUCCGGUAAAACUGAUCGUUAAGACUCUUAACAAGUAUGCAAAGUUUCAUGAAGAUCGGACUAUAGGUGAUGCUAUAACAGUUAAAAAUGCCUCAAAAACACAAAAGUUCUAUUGAAAAUGACCUCAAAUUGUAGAACAUGUUCAUAUAUUCACAAAAAUACAAGCUCUUCAUAUCAUAUGAUAGAUCUCCACAUUCUGACCAACCAUUGCUGUCAAUUAUAUUGUUCAUUAAAUAUUCACAAAUAUGUGAAAAACCUACUUUUGCGAACUAGUACCUGGUCUUUCGCUCAAUCUCGAUCAAACCACUGCAGUGCAAUUCUCUGGACUCUCUAGAUCAAUAAUUAUGGAAAAAAUGUUGCAUUUUGUCCUUUGGUUAGCUAUAACAGGGUCAUUUAGUGAAGGGGCAUGGCCAAAUAUACCCAAAAGCCUAUAAAACCUAAAUGAAAAGUAAAAACUUCACGAAACUUGGUGAAAACAUGUGUCAGAUGACUCUUAACAAGCAUACAAAGUUUCAUGGAGAUCGGACCAUAGGUGGCGCUAUAACAGUUAAUAAGGCCUCAAAAACAAUAUUUCUGUAUAAAAUGACUUCAAAUUGUAGAACGUUCAUAUAUUCACACAAACACAUGAUCUUCAUAUCAUAUGAUAGAUGUUGUGCAUCAAAUCGUUCAACUUUAUGAAACUUGGUGAAAACAUGUGUCUGAUGACUCUUAACAAGCAUGCAGAGAUUCAUGGAGAUUGGACAAUUGGUGGCACUAUAACAUUUAAAAAGGCCUCAAAAACACAGAAUUUCUAUAGUAAAUGACCUCAAAUUGCAAUAAAAUGUUCAUAAUAUUCACUUAUACACUAUAUCUUCAUAUCAUAUGACAGAUCUUCUCAUUCUGAACAACUUUGCCUCUAGGAUCACUGCUGUCAAUCAAACUGUUCUUUAGGUAUUUGAGAUUAUUUAAAAAACCUACUUUUGUGAACUAGCCCUCAGUUUUUAACUCAAAAUAAAUAAAAUCAGUACAGUACUAUUCUCUAGACUCUCUAGGUCAAUAAUUAUAUUAAAAAAAUGUUGAACAUUUGCAUUUGGACAACUGUAAACCAGUCAUUUUAUAAUAUGUUCUUUACAUAGUGUACCCAAAGGCCUAUUAUUCCUAAAAAAAACCCCCAAAAAACCACAACUCCUCUCAAAACUCUGUAAAAUGAUCCAGAAUUUCAUUCUGAACAAGCAUGCAAAAUUUAAGAGAGAUUGGGCUAAAAAUAACACUAUAAUAGUUAUAAAAGUUAAAAACACAGUGUUGUAUGAGAAAUUGCUAUUUAUAACCACUAGAUGGCAGCGGAAGACCACUAAUGGGCUCAUUAAACACUAAAACAGUAAUGUUAAUAGGUUUUCUUAUGGAGAUAUUAUAAAAUGACUGUCAUAACAUUUAAAAUCACAUUUAAUUCAAGUCUACCAUUUUGUUCAUACAGAUAUGUCCGUUUUUACAAUUUUGCCAUAUUAUGAUCACAGAGAAACCUGAACGUAGUGCUGAAACCCUAUUGUAAUUGUUAAGAUUUUUAGGGGUUCAAGCACGUAGUACUGAAACUCUAUUGUAAUUGUUAGGAUUUAAAACAAUUUUUUUUUAUCAUUCUUCUUCGGUAAAACUGAUCGUGCAGCCCAAACCGUAAGGCCUAGAGAGCUGAAAUUUGGUCAGAUCGUAGUAGUACUGCUCGCUACUCAGAUGCAAAGACUGUCUAGUCGGCCUAACAGGGGCGCUACAGCCAUCAAAAACGCAAAACUGCUCAUAACUCCUAAACCGCUUGUUGUAGACUCAAAUAAUUUACAUUUUUGGAAUCCUUGGGUCAAGGCAAAUGUAAAAUGGUCACCUGUGAUUUGGGUCUAGGAGAUCUCAUUUUUCCGCAAAUUUGAAUGAUGUCCAAAACCUACUUUUGCGAACUAGUCCUAGUUUUUUUUGCUCGAUCGGAACCAAACCACUGCAGAAAUAUUCUCUGGACAGUGAAUAUCCAUAAUUAUCAAAAAAAAAAGUAGAAAUUUUGACUCACUGUCGCAAUGCAGUGCCAAAACGUUCGAAAGUCGCGGACCAAUUUUGCGAAAAAGGCUAUAACUCGUGCACAAAAUGAGAUAUCUUCACCAAACUUGGUACACGUGUAUGAGCUCAAUCUUUGGUCAAAUAAAAUAAAAAAAGUGCAGAUCUGCCACUUGGUGGUGCUAUAAGAUCGAAAAAACUAUAACUAGGUAACCGUUGGUCCGAUCGACUUGAAAUUUUGUUAUGCAGUGUCUUUGUCCAAAGUGCCAUAAGGAUCUAUGAGGACAUUGGCGUAUCUCAAAAAACAUGGCCGCCAUCAGCAAAAUAAGUUUAAGCAGCUGUUAGACAAGGUUAACAGAGGUCAAUCGGAAUGAAACUCAGUGGGAAUGUUCGACUCAUGGCCCUAAAGAUCUGUAAGAAUUUUGAAAGAAAUCGGCCACUAGUUGGCGCUAACGAGUUUUUUCAUUCUGUAAUCACGUGGUGUUUCACACAUCCACACAAUAUGCAUAUCAUUUGAUAGAUCUCCUCAUAAUGAAUAACUUUGCCUUAUGAACCAUUGCUGUCAAUCAAAUCGUUCAUUAAAUAUUCACAAAUAUGUGAAAAACCUACUUUUGCGAACUAGGUCUAGGUUUUUCGCUCAAACUCGAUCAAACCACUGCAGUAAUAUUCUCUGGACUCUCUAGAUCAAUAAUUAUCAUAAACAAAAUGUUGAAUUUUGUUGUUUAGUUACCUUUAAUUUGGUCAUUUAGAAAAGGGACUUGGCAACAUAUACCCAAAAGCCUAUAAAACCUAAACGAAAACUCAAAACUUUGCAAAACUUGGUGAAAACAUGUGGCGGAUGACUCUUAACAAGUAUGGAAAGUUUUAUGGAGAUCGGUCCAUAGGUGGCGCUAUAACAGUUAAAAAAGCCUUCAAAAACACAAAAUUUCUGUAUAAAAUGACCUCAAAUUGUAGAACAUGUUCAUAUAUUAACACAAACACGUGAUCUUCAUAUCAUAUGAUAGAUCUCCUCAUUCUGACCAACUUUGCCUCUGGGAGUAAUGCUGCACAUCAAAUCGUUCAUUAAAUGUUCACAAAUAUGUUCACAAACCUACUCUUGCGAACUAGUCCUAGGUUUUUCGCCUAAUCUUGAUCAAACCACUGCAGUCAUAUUCUCUGGACACUCUAGAUCAAUUAUUAUGAAAAAAAAAAAGUUGAAUUUUGUCCUUUGGUUAUCUAUAACGGGGUCAUUAACAAAAGGGGCGUGGCUACAUACACCCAAAAGCCUAUAAAACCUAAACAAAAACUCAAAACUUUAUGAAACUUGGUGAAAACAUGUGUCUGAUGACUCUUAACAAGCAUGCAGAGAUUCAUGGAGAUUGGACGAUAGGUGGCGCUAUAAAAUUUAAAAAGGCCUCAAAAACACUGAAUUUCUAUAGUAAAUGACCUCAAAUUGCAAUGAAAUGUUCAUCAUAUUCACUUAUACACUAUCUUCAUAUCAUACGAUAUAUUUUCUCAUUCUGAACAACUUAGCCUCUAUGAUCACUGCUGUCAAUCAAACUGUUCUUUAAGUAUUUGAGAUUAUUUAAAAAAACAAUUUUUUGUGAACUAGCUCUCAGUUUUUAACUCAAAAUCAAUCAAAUCAGUGCAGUACUUGUGUAUAUGUGUCUGUGAACCUAUUUUCCGUUUCGGAUGUCUUUUACUGUCAGCCAUACGUUUAGGUUGGUAAUAAUAUAUGUCUAGUAAUAAUAUAUGGAGCUCUCUUCUAAUGAGCCGAUGAUCUGAAUCAGGUUUGGUCAAUAAGGCAGCACAGAGCAGAAGGUAUCUAAUAAUGGAGUUGAGAAUCACUAUUUUAUAUCUGCAACAAAGUGAAUGUGUGUGUGUGUGUGUGUGUGUGUGUCUGUGUUAGCAUGCUUGCUGUGUAUUAAGUAUAAUUAAACCUUACAAUUCUGUGUAUGUCUGUGUCAAGGAUAUUAUAGUUUUUAAUUUUUAAAUUAGUUUUUAUUUUAAUAUCAUUUUCAAAUUUCCUAUAAUUUCAGUUUAGUUUUAGUUAGUUUCAUUAAUGGUUUUGUUAGUUUUAGUUUAGUUUUUAUUUUGUGAACACAUUUCUAUUUAGUUUUUAUAUAUUUUAGUUUCAGUUUUAGUUUUAGUAAUUAUAGUUUAACAGAGUUAAUGGAACACUUCCAGUGUAGACCAAACCAAAACAUUUAAUUUUAGCAAAGUUGAAAGUUUGCAGUUUACAGUUAACUCUUUUGCAAACCUCUUAAUGAAAAUAAAAUAAUUCUUUACAAUUCAACAAAAACCAAAAAUAUGCAACUUAUGUAUACAAUUUAUUAAUUCAUAUUCAUGUUCAUAUUCAUUCAUAUUAAAGAUGUAAUCUUGUUUAAUAUGCCAAUAGUUUACAAACAAAAAGCUAAUCAAGGUUUUCAGAGUUAGACAGCAUCCGACAGUUGAGUAUUUAUCAGGGUUGGAGCUAAAUUCUGCAGAUCAAUGGCCCUCCAGUGCUGGAUUUGAGGAAACAUGCCCUGCAUCCCGAUGUAAAUACUAUCCACCCUAUCUGCCCUAAAUAGUAUUAAAAAUGACUAAUAUCACAUAGAAUUUAGCAUGGACAGUGUGCACAUUGGGACGCAGACAUGUUCUUUGCAAUCGUCACUGAAACUCUGUAAACUUUAUUUUUGUCCAUCUGUGUUUUCAAUGCAUUAUUUUAUUGGAUUAUUUUAUUGGAUUUUUUGCACAUAAGAGCCACCGGUGCGCACUUGUAUGCCCCGUCUCCCUCUAUGAACGUACACAAUAAGAAGAAACAAUCUAAUUAAUGCUUUGAAACCUCAUACUACUCAAAAAUAAAUGCGAUAUGGUGAUUUAAAUGAUGUUUGCACUUUACUUUGACGAGCCGCUCCAGCGCGCAUGCGCUUCAGAUGAGCAACACAAUCAAUCCCAGUUCUAAAGCCCCUUUUACACAACACAGCAAGCGGUGAAAACACAGCGCGAUUUUGGAUGCGUUUUAUACAGUCGAGGCGGUGCUCGUGUCAUGGACUCGAGGCGGACGUUACCAUAGUAAUCACAAAGCGUGACAAAAUGACUAUUCACUAAAGUCAGCUCAUCCAAAACUUUUAAUUCUGUGUCUGUUAACUCUCAUAACGCUCAUGUUGUUCUCGCACGUCAACCAUGCUUUUAAACGUUCGUGCGCUGUAAGGUGUGCAUUAUUAUUAUUUAUAGUCAUUUCCAUUUCAUAGCCCGGGUCUUGUUUUUAAAUGCAAAAACGCAUUCUCUGUGAAUAGCCGCUUAGGACGCAGCUCACAUGCGUGAAGCGCCAUCUAUUUCCCUAAACAACCACAGGUCCGAUUUUCUGACACAGAAUGAGAGCUUAUUAAAUCACGAACACGAUUAUUUAUUUUUGCUAAUUAUUUUAUUUUCGUUAGUUUUUCCGUUACUGUUAUUAGUUUCGUUUAGUUUUAGUUUUUCAUUUUCAUUUAUUUAGAAAUUUAAAUUUCAUUUCAGUUUACGAAAAUGUUUUUUGACCAACAGUUUUAGUCUUAGUUUCAGUUUUCGUUUUCGAAAAUAACCUUGGUCUGUGUUUGUGUGUGUGUGUGAGUGUGUGUUUAUUUGUAUGCUUACUGUUUAUUAAUUAUUUUUAAACCUUUCAUUUCUCUCUCUCUCUCUCUCUGUGUGUGUAUGUGACAGAGAGAGAGACCGUUUUAAUGAAUUCUCCAUUGUGAAUGUGUUCUAUUGUCAGCCCUGCAUUUCAUGUUGGCCUAGACCAGGGGUGGGCAAACUCGGCCCUUCCAGGCCACUUUCCUUCAGAGUUUAGCUCCAACCCUAAUCAAAUGCACCUGAACCAGCUAAUCAUUGUCUUCAAGACUACUAGAAGGGUACAGGCAGGUGAGUUUUAUCAGGGUUGGAUCAAAUCUCUGCAGGAAAGUGGCCUGGAAGGGCCAAGUUUGCCCAUCACUGGCCUUGACUAUGGCUGCAUUCGAAACAGCAUACUUCCAUACUAUUUAGUAGGCAAAAAGCAGUAGGCAAAGGAAAAGUAUGCAUGAAAUCUCAAUAUCCACAAAAGAGUAGGCGAGAUUUACCUGGAUGGAGCACAAUUUCUCGGGAGAUUUGGGCGUACGUAUACUUAAGAAUCGUUCGAAUAUGCUUACUUGCAGUACCUACUAUAUAGUAGGCAAAAUGGGUACCUGAGAAGAGUAGUAUGUCCGAAACCACAGUAUUCAUAAAAGAGUAAGUGAGAGAUCCCCGGAUGGCCUACUGCGUCCCGCCCAGACUCUGAAGUGCCGAUCGAGGGAUACUUUUCUAUCCCACAAUGCUACGGGAGAGGAUAUGUUUACCAAGAAGAAGAGAGGAUGCGUCUAGUCUGCCGCAAAUCCCGAAGAAGAAGAAGAAGAAGAAGAGGAAGAGGAGGAGGAGGAUGAGGAUACGUCAUAAUUGAACAUGGAGAAGAACGAGGAUGUUUUCAAAUGUGAGUAUUAAAAACCAAAAACAUGGUUUCUUGUGUUAAAAUUGCUUUUUUUAGAUUCUGAUUUUGUUUUAAAAACGUGUUUAUUUAUAACCACUGGGAGUUCCAGUAAGCACACAUGCGUCUACAAAGUAGAUUGCUGCAUUCAUGCACUAUUGUAAAUUUCAUUAGUCCCACUUCUAAAGUUGUGAUUGGAAGCUCAUUAAUGUGCAGUUUUUAACUAGGAAACUUAUGUACAUUAAUUCAGAUGGCUUGUGAGUUUAGUAUUCUAUAUGUUCUAAAUUAUAUACAUCGUCAAAGACGUUUACUAAAUGUUUAUGUAAUAUCUGACAGAAACGUCUCGGACAAGUAUUGCAGAUGAGAACAUCACAACAUGAAAUAGACAUUAGUGAUGUGUGUAGCUAUGUAGUAGAAUUCACUGUUGUCAACACUGCUAAUGUAAAUAAUUAUGUAAUGUAAAUAAAACCAUACUAUUUUAAAGGUUUCAAGAAAUUAAAGUUAUCAAUAAGUAUCAAAAUGUAUGUCUAUAAGUACUGUUGAUAAAUUGAGUAGCAAAGGUUAUUGGAUAAAACACAUCAGCAACUGCCUCAACGUUUAAUUGUACACUCUAAAAGAAAUGGUGCUAAGUAGAACUAAAAGUAGUUUGCUGGCUUGUAAUCAUGGGUGAAUCAUUUUAAUGCGAUAUAGCACCUGAACCAACCCAAAGAACCACUGAAGAACUUUUUUCCUGUGUGUUUUUCCUGUUUACUGUUGAAAACAUAAAUCACAGAAGUGACUUGUAACAAUCUUGUUUGAAUGUUACAGGGACAGAUGAGCACACACAUGUGCUUAUACGGUGGAGAGUGGCUAAUGAGGCCCUUUUCAUCGGAAAACGAAAUGCAGCAAUCAAAGGUUUUAAAGCUUUUGUGAUGGAGCAGGGCCUGCAAGACAGGGUGACGGCAGCCUUUGUAAAGAAAAAAUUGGAAAACCUGAAACAAAAAUAUAAAGAUCUCAAAUGUCCGGCAACUGGUGUGAGCAUGGAGAGCCCACAGCAGCAUCUUGGAAGUGGUACAGGGCCAUGGAUGAGGCAAUUGGAGGAAGGCCCUCCAUUGCUCCACCUGCCCUUAUUGCCUCAUCUGAUCCGGAUGUUGCUGUGGCCUCUACAUCCUCAGUGACCCCAGCCCCAGACACACCAAGGGCAUCAAGGAAAAGAACACAGAAAUCUAUUGAGAAUAUGAUCAGGGAGAUGGAGGAGAGGGAAUCGGCAAGAGAGCAGGAAGCAGCCGAAAGGGAGGAGAAAAGAUGGAGAGAAAUGGAGGAGAAGGAGGAGAGACGAGAAUGAGACAGACAAGAGCAGGAGGAGAGACGAAAUGCUGAGGAAAGAGAAAGAGAAGAAAGGUGGUGCCGGGAAGCAAGUCAAAGGGAGGAACGAUUACUUCGCCUCCUUGAAUCAAUUGCAAAAAAAUAAGUCCAUAAAUAAAUGUAUAUGUAUAAUUAAAUGUGAAUUUUUGUGAAGAAUAAACAUGUAUUUUAAAUGAGAAUUUUAUUUCUCACACACACACACACACACACACACACACACGUAUUAGGGUAGGAAAUUAACAAUGGCCCUUCAUAACCUAUGCUGAGACUGUUUGCACAAACCACCUUAAGUUUUGCAUUAACUACACAUAGUAACAGUGAUUAAAGUUCACCCAAACAUACACUAUAAACUCAGUCAUUAUUUAUUCAACUUCAUGGUGUUCGAUCCCUCUAGUUUUAUUUCUGAACAUAAAAGGUGAUUUUGAUCAAGUAUAUUCUGCUGGUUCAUAUAAUAUUGGCCAAUAAAGCCUGACUUUUAGAAGCCUCAAAUGCAUAGUGUAAUGAACAAAAAUAGAGGGAUCAAAAGACAUGAAAGUGAGUAAAUAAUGACUAAAUUUACAUGUUUGAGUGAACCAAUCCCUCAGAUAAAAAUUGUAUGAAAUUUAUAUUAAUUUAUAUAAGCCUGUAGUAGUACCCUGAAGAAAUAAACUAAGACGAUAGAGACACUUUCAAAAAAGGAUUCACUAAGAAAUACAAAUCACAUUUCUUUUUAUGUAUGUAUUUAGUAGACAUUUUUAUCCAAAAUGACUUAACCUGUUUUAAUCUUUCACAGGUAGUCAUGCUCAUGGAGAGCAGGCACACGGAUGUUUGGAGCGGACACAGCAGCAGCCAGAUUGUCCCGCACAUUUUCUCCCACUCUUGGUUCAAGCUUGUGGGGUUCAGGGGGUCCUUCAUCAUGGUCUUCCUCCACUGGCUCAAUGAUGUCCCCAUUGACAAGGGCGAGAUUGUGAAGCACAGCACAGCACGCGACCACCUCAGGCACAAAGACAGGGCUCACCUCCAAGGCCUUGAAGAAAAGGGAGCGCCAGCGUGUUUUCAUCAUGCCAAAGGCUCGCUCUACUAUGCUUCGUGCGCGGAAGUGCUUACUGUUGAAACGAGCCUGCACAGGGUUCUGCACAGGCUCUCUAUAUGGGGUGAUGAGGCAGAUGGGUGCACCCAGGCAAGGAUAGCCACCAUCCCCAAGGAUGCACUUUCCUGCAAGUGGAUAUAGGCUGCCGGCAUAUACAGGGCUGUUCCUCAGCACCCUAGAAUCGUGCACAGACCACGGAUAUCCCACAAAGACAUCAAGGGAUUUCCCCUGGUGAUCAGUGAUGGCCUGGAGUUGGAUAGAAUGAAACAGUUUCCUGUUGUAGUAGCAGUGGGAGUUAUUUGCUGGAGGUUUCAUGCGGAUAUGACAGCCGUCUAUUGCACCAACUGCCCUGCUGAAAGCUGGUGACCCAGCCAGCUGUGCAAAUCCUGCUCCCACUGCCUCCAGGUCAUCACCGGUUGGAAAAGAAAUCACCCUCCUCAAAAUUCCAAUGACUGCCUUAUUCACUCUGUGCACAAUCACAUGCACAGAGGAUAUGGGAAUAUCAAAGGUCUGUGACACGACCCUGUACGAUGCUGCAUGUGCAAGCCAGUGGAGGAAUACAAGGACCUCGAUGUCCUUUUCCCAUCCAUGGUCAGAUUCCAAUCUGACUGCUGCAAUGAGGGAUCUGAUGGAUGGCAAAGACAGGCGAAGGUGGGCACGGUGGUCAGCUGCUUGGUCCAAAUAAAACCGCAGAAUCGGCACAGCUGUGUUGACAUGGCAGUAGGAUGCGGGGUUCACC